rnacentral:rRNA from 1 species
GAGUUUGAUCGUGGCUCAGAUUGAACGCUGGCGGCAGGCCUAACACAUGCAAGUCGAGCGGUAGAGAGAAGCUUGCUUCUCUUGAGAGCGGCGGACGGGUGAGUAAUGCCUAGGAAUCUGCCUGGUAGUGGGGGAUAACGCUCGGAAAUGGACGCUAAUACCGCAUACGUCCUACGGGAGAAAGCAGGGGACCUUCGGGCCUUGCGCUAUCAGAUGAGCCUAGGUCGGAUUAGCUAGUUGGUGAGGUAAUGGCUCACCAAGGCGACGAUCCGUAACUGGUCUGAGAGGAUGAUCAGUCACACUGGAACUGAGACACGGUCCAGACUCCUACGGGAGGCAGCAGUGGGGGAAUAUUGGACAAUGGGCGAAAGCCUGAUCCAGCCAUGCCGCGUGUGUGAAGAAGGUCUUCGGAUUGUAAAGCACUUUAAGUUGGGAGGAAGGGCAGUAAAUUAAUACUUUGCUGUUUUGACGUUACCGACAGAAUAAGCACCGGCUAACUCUGUGCCAG